rnacentral:rRNA from 1 species
AUUGAACGCUGGCGGCAUGCCUUACACAUGCAAGUCGAACGGCAGCACGGGAGCAAUCCUGGUGGCGAGUGGCGAACGGGUGAGUAAUAUAUCGGAACGUGCCCAGUCGUGGGGGAUAACGUAGCGAAAGCUACGCUAAUACCGCAUACGAUCUACGGAUGAAAGCGGGGGAUCGCAAGACCUCGCGCGAUUGGAGCGGCCGAUAUCAGAUUAGGUAGUUGGUGAGGUAAAGGCUCACCAAGCCGACGAUCUGUAGCUGGUCUGAGAGGACGACCAGCCACACUGGGACUGAGACACGGCCCAGACUCCUACGGGAGGCAGCAGUGGGGAAUUUUGGACAAUGGGGGGCAACCCUGAUCCAGCAAUGCCGCGUGAGUGAAGAAGGCCUC